AUUGGGGUAGUUUAAAAAGAAUUUUUAUUUUACACGUAAAGGGUGGUUAAAACCCCCCAAUA
rnacentral:tRNA from 1 species